CGCUUGAAGCUGGGUCGGAGAAUCAGGGCUCGCCAGCUGACUCCUAAAGCGGAGGCGAGACCGGAAGAUCAGAGGGAGGAGA
rnacentral:miRNA from 1 species